CCGAAAUUGAAUGAAAAGACA
rnacentral:siRNA from 1 species